AUUGAACGCUGGCGGCAUGCCUAACACAUGCAAGUCGAGCGAGCGGCGGACGGGUGAGUAAUGUCUGGGAAACUGCCUGAUGGAGGGGGAUAACUACUGGAAACGGUAGCUAAUACCGCACACCAUCAGAUGUGAGCAGAUGGGAUUAGAUAGUGGGUGGGGUACCGGCGCACCUAGGCGACGAUCCCUAGCUGGUCUGAGAGGAUGACCAGCCACACUGGAACGGGGACACGGCCCAGACUCCUACGGGAGGCAGCAGUGGGGAAUAUUGCACAAUGGGCGAAAGCCUGAUACAGCCAUCCCGCGUGUGUGAAGAAGGCCUUCGGGUUGUAAAGCACUUUCGGCGGGGAGGCGUUACCCGCAGAAGAAGCACCGGCUAACUCCGUGCCAGCAGCCGCGGUAAUUC
rnacentral:rRNA from 1 species